UACAGAGGUCCCAAGCGUUGUUCGGAUUCACUGGGCGUAAAGGGUGCGUAGGUGGUGAGGUAAGUCUGAUGUGAAAUCUCCGAGCUUAACUCGGAAAUGGCAUUGGAAACUACUUUACUAGAGGGUUGGAGGGGAGACUGGAAUUCUUGGUGUAGCAGUGAAAUGCGUAGAUAUCGAGAGGAACACCUGCGGCGAAGGCGGGUUGCUGGGCUGACACUGACGCUGAGGCGCGAAAGCUAGGGGAGCGAACGGG
rnacentral:rRNA from 1 species